UUUUAGCCCUGAUGGGAACGGCAUCCUUUUAUGGUCUCUUUUUUGAGACCACAAAAGAUACAGUGUACAGCAGUAUUAGCU
rfam:Flavobacterium sp. FPG59 Contig_379, whole genome shotgun sequence.